rnacentral:lncRNA from 1 species
CCAUCGAUGCGUAUAAACUCUCCUGACCGUAGGGAGGAUUGUAAAACAUAUAAUUUACAUGGUCAUAUGUAACACCUCGAAAGAAACCCAUAAAGCCUCCAAUUGAGUUAUAAGGUAAUGCAGCAUUCAUGUAAUGAAUUCCCAUUUGCCGAUUCCAGUUCAUGAACUAACACUAAAUUUCUCAUCCCAACUAUUAAGGACAUAAACAGUAACAUUGAGUAAUUACAAACAACUACUACCAACCUAAACUAUCUAUAAAUUAACAUGAUUCAUAUGUAUUAAAUCUAAAGGAUGAAGGGGCAAAUCAACAUAACCACACCAACCAGCAGAGGGUGAGCUCAAACAUGCGUCCGUUGAGAAUGUUGUCUUCAGCUGUAACAAUGACCAAUGCUAAGGUCUGUCUUUUUGCAUUUUCAUUAAGUUCAGCAAAUGAGUAAGCAAAAUUACACCAAACACAACAUCACAUAGGUAUGAGAUCGAACAAGAAAAUAUAGAUAGGAAAGGGGAUUGACCUUAAACAGGAUUUGGAAUUCAAAACUGGGUUGUUUUGAAGCUCACAGCAACAAGAUCAUGAACAAAAACUCGUAGACAAUGGACUGAGACCUCGACGAACAACCUCGCCUCCGACAGUGCCUCAAUCACGAUUUCAAAACAGAUUGAAUGGACAAUAUCUGAAAUAAGCCAUGCGAAGCUUGGAAUCAGAUUCACAUUCCUCUCAUGCUCACAAAAGCUCGACUAGUUUGCUAUUGUCCCUCGCUCGUUCUGUGCGUCUGUGUGGCUGUGUCUGAGUGUUUUCCGACAAGUUAUGGUAAAGAGGAGGAGGAGCAGUGACAGUGUGAAUGGGGAUCGACGGGCGGCCAUUUGUUGUUCUACAGCCUAGGGGUUUUUUGCUUUUUUGCUCUGGUUGUUUUCUUCUGAAGAAGAUGAUGGCUGGGGGGGUCUCGAAGAAGGGUGGGGUCUCCUCAGGUCCUCAGCCGCG